rfam:Ixodes scapularis strain Wikel colony gcontig_1108379626466, whole genome shotgun sequence.
GCAGUCGUGGCCGAGUGGUUAAGGUGAUGGACUAGAAACCCAUUGGGGUCUCCCCGCACAGGUUCGAAUCCUGUCGACUGUG